rnacentral:rRNA from 1 species
GACGAACGCUGGCGGCGUGCUUAACACAUGCAAGUCGUGCGGUAAGGCCCUUUCGGGGGUACGUGAGCGGCGAACGGGCGAGUAACACGCGAGCAACCUGCCCUCCACUUUGGGUGAACUGCCGUAAACGGAGGCGAAUACCGACCAUGACUUCCCCACGCAUGCGGGGUGGGGGAAGGACUGCGGGUGGGGGGGGGUGGGCUCGCGGCCGAUCUGCGUGUGGGUGGGGGGGUGGCCUACCAAGGGGUCGACGGGGAGCCGGCCUGAGAGGGGGACCGGCCACAGUGGGAAUGAGAUACGGCCCAGACUCCUACGGGAGGCAGCAGUGGGGAAGAUUGUACAAUGGGCGGAAGCCUGAUGCAGCAACGCCGCGUGCGGGAUGACGGCCUUCGGGUUGUAAACCGCGUUCGCCUGUGACGAAGCGUGAGUGACGGUAAUGGGUAAAGAAGCACCGGCUAACUACGUG